UAGGUCUGUAGCUCAGUUGGUAGAGCACCGUGUUGAUAACGCGGUAGUCGUUGGUUCAAGUCCAACCAGACCUAU
rnacentral:tRNA from 1 species